rnacentral:rRNA from 1 species
UACGUAGGGGGCGAGCGUUGAUCGGAAUUACUGGGCGUAAAGGGCGUGUAGGCGGUGGGGUAAGUCGGACGUGAAAUCCCCGGGCUUAACCCGGGGGGGGCGUUCGAAACUGCCGUGCUCGAGUGUGGGAGAGGGAAGUGGAAUUCCCGGUGUAGCGGUGAAAUGCGUAGAUAUCGGGAAGAACACCGGUGGCGAAGGCGGCUUCCUGGCCCACAACUGACGCUGAGGCGCGAAAGCUAGGGGAGCAAACAGG